GGAAAAAGGUAAGUUUUACCCCUUUUCUCCUUUCCAGAGCCGGGCGAGAGGGGGUCCCUGAGGGUGGGGGCACCCUCACGGCACUAUAGUGCCAGGAUAACGGGUAUGUUUUCCUGGCACUGUAGUGGUCCUUUAACUAAACAGUAGAUAGAAAAUAUUAAGGGAAAAGAGCAAAGCAGGGAGUAAGGCUGGGUUGGCGAUUUCAAAGUCAGGUAGAAUUGGGCACAAAUCUCGCCAGUUUUUUCGAACUUUUAACACCGGAACGAAUUGACUCAUUGAAUAAAAUCCCAUAGGGAAAUUCCAGAUGGAUAGAUUCAUUCAGGUUCAUUCAAAAUAAUUUGAUUUGAACGAUCCGGAUUAUUCACUAAAGUGAGAAUUCACAGUGAAUUUUUAAGCUGAAACACUACACAUGCACACUUCUACCACCAAUUUGAAGGUAAAGCCCUACAUACACACUAUGGACAAAAGUAUUGUAACACCUGACCAUUACACCAACAGGCACUGGGGUGGUGGGUCGCAAGGCGAUUCCCAGUGUGUCGCGCUGACCCACACAUGCAGGGCCGCCGGCUAGUCAGGCAGGCAGACUGAUUAGUCAGGCUCUCGGUCCGUGACUGCGGGCCCGACACCAGGAGGGGGCCCGGCGGCUUGCCCAGUAUGCCGCCGGGCUUCCUCCAAUCAGUCUGCCCAGCAACUCCGCCAGGUGCAGAGCUGCAGACCGUGUGAUAGAAGUCUUGCGAGCACCCAGAGCGUUACCAUGGCAACACUCUGGGAGCUUGUGAGACUUAUUACACGGUCUGCAGCUCUGCACCCGGUGGAGCUCAGACUGGAGAACCACAGGACCACCAGGGAGACACUGGACCACCAGGGAAUUUAUUAAAAGGUAGGACACAGACCAUGCCCCCCCGUAACCCCUUCACUCCCUGCCACCCGUAACCCCUUCACUCCCUGCCCCUCUGUAACCCCUUCACUCCCUGCCCCCCUGCAAUCCCUUCACUCCCUGCCCCCCUGUAAUCCCUUCAAUCCCUGCCCCUCCCACUGUAACCCCUACUCUCCCUGUCCCCCUCAAUGUAACUCCUUCACUCCCUGCCCCCCUGUAACCCCCUCACUCCCUGCCCCCCUGUAGCCCCCUCACUCCCUGCCCUCCUGUA